UAGCGGAGGGUGCAAGCGUUUAAUCGGAAUUACUGGGCGUAAAGCGUGCGUAGGCGGUUCGUUAAGUCUGUUGUGAAAGCCCGGGCUCAACCUGGGAAUGGCAAUGGAUACUGGCGAGCUAGAGUGUGGUCAGAGGAUGGUGGAAUUCCCGGUGUAGCGGUGAAAUGCGUAGAUAUUCGGAGGAACACCGGUGGCGAAGGCGGCUUCCUGGACCGGUUCUGACGCUGCAGAGCGAAAGCUAGGGGAGCAACAGGG
rnacentral:rRNA from 1 species